GCCUUCGUGGUGUAGUGGUCAGCACACUCGGCGCGUAUUCGAGAGGUCCGUGGUUCGAGUCCCGGCAAGGGCA
rnacentral:tRNA from 1 species